AUUGAACGCUGGCGGCAGGCCUAACACAUGCAAGUCGAACGAGUGGCGGACGGGUGAGUAAUUUCUGGGAAACUGCCCGAUGGAGGGGGCUAACUACUGGAAACGGUAGCUAAUACCGCUUACCAUCGUAUGUGCCCAGAUGGGUUUAGCUAGUCGGUGGGGUAAAGGCUCACCUAGGCGACGAUCCCUAGCUGGUCUGAGAGGGUGACCGGCCACACUGGAACUGAGACACGGUCCAGACUCCUACGGGAGGCAGCAGUGGGGAAUAUUGCACAAUGGGCGCAAGCCUGAUGCAGCAAUGCCGCGUGUGUGAAGAAGGCCUUCGGGUUGUAAAGUACUUUUAGCGGGGAGGCGUUACCCACAGAAGAAGCACCGGCUAACUCCGUGCCAGCAGCCGCGGUAAUUC
rnacentral:rRNA from 1 species